AACUAUUCUUUUAUCAUGUUUAAGAACUCGUAUUCAUACCUCUUUUUGCCUGAUGCAGUAUUUAUUUAUUACAUCAUAACAUAUCUCUGUGGUGUAUACUAUUCUAUUGAUCUUUUAUAUCACAUUUUCUCUUGAGUUUAUCUGCAUUUUCUUAAUUAUCUCAUUUUACUUUAUUUAGGUUUUUGCACAAACUGAACUUUCCUUUGAAUCUG